GUCCCUUUUCUCUAAAAUAUAAGCAAAACAUGGAAUUAAGAAGGGAGUUUUGAUAUUCUAGUAACUGAAAUUUGCUUUGUGAAUCUUAUGUCCUAUCUUUUAUGUUUAAUAAAUACCUUAUUAGAUUUUAAACAUUUCCCACCAGACCCUCUCCAGGGCCGUAGGGUCAUUCAUUUUUCAAAAUCAUGCAGACCUUUAUUAUUUAAUCCAUGACAAACUGCAAAGAAUGAAGAUAUUAUACCCAUACUUUCUUGCAACUUAUCCAAUAUAUCGUUAAUUAAAUACACCUUCGUCCAUUUAGUACUACUGAAUUGUAAAUUUCCAGAUACUAAAAACGCUGUUUUCUGACAAUCAGAAAUCUGUCAAAUCUUCCCCAAAGUCCAGGAAAUGGCAUUUCAGAGACUCUAAAUUUAAAAAUUUCC